rnacentral:misc_RNA from 1 species
UACGGAGGGUGCAAGCGUUAAUCGGAAUUACUGGGCGUAAAGCGCGCGUAGGCGGUUUGAUAAGUUGGGUGUGAAAUCCCUGGGCUUAACCUAGGAACUGCAUUCAAAACUAUCAAACUAGAGUGCAACAGAGGUCAAUGGAAUUUCCGGUGUAGCGGUGAAAUGCGUAGAUAUCGGAAGGAACACCAGUGGCGAAGGCGAUUGGCUGGGUUGACACUGACGCUGAGGCGCGAAGGCGUGGGUAGCAAACAGG